rnacentral:rRNA from 1 species
AGAGUUUGAUCAUGGCUCAGGAUGAACGCUAGCGGCAGGCCUAAUACAUGCAAGUCGAACGCUCAGUAGCAAUACUGGGAGUGGCGCACGGGUGCGUAACGCGUACACAAUCUACCUCUAAGCGGGGGACACCUCCUGGAAACGGGGAUUAAUACCGCAUAAUAUGCCGAAGUCGCAUGACUUUGGUAUCAAAGCAGCAAUGCACUUAGAGAUGAGUGUGCGUCCCAUUAGGUAGUUGGUGAGGUAACGGCUCACCAAGCCUAUGAUGGGUAGCCGGUCUGAGAGGAUGGUCGGCCACACGGGCACUGAGACACGGGCCCGACUCCUACGGGAGGCAGCAGUAAGGAAUAUUGGUCGAUGGUGGAAACACUGAACCAGCCAUGCCGCGUGGAGGAAUAAGGUCCUACGGAUUGUAAACUCCUUUUGACGAGGAAGAAAAUGUUAGAUUUAUCUAAUUUUGACGGUACUCGUAGAAUAAGCACCGGCUAACUCCGUG